GUGACAUGAUGAUGAAGUUUAUCCAUUCUCUGAGCUUGCAGACUCUGUCCUCCUUCAGCAUCGAGGUUCCUGUUCUAGGGCUUCGGUGUUUCGCGGCCUUCCGUGCACUCCAGCUUUCCAGUGUUCUACUGGGGGUGCCCGUGUCCGGUUGACUGCUUGAGGGUGUGGUGGGGUUAGCAGGGUGGGAACCCCUCCUGGGGGAUCCCAUCUUGGCAGAGACGAGUGAUGGGAGUCUGAUCAC